rnacentral:rRNA from 1 species
CGGAAGAGGGAAAGGGAAAUUCCAUGUGUAGCGGGGGAAAUGCGUAGAUAUUUGGGAGGAACACCCAGGGGCGAAGGGGGACUUACUGGUCUGUAAUUGACGCGAAGGCUCGAAAGCGUGGGUAGCGAACAGGAUUAGAUACCCUGGUAGUCCACGCCGUAAACGAUGAGUGCUAAGUUUGGAGGGUUUCCGCCCUUCAGUGCUGGAGUUAACGCAUUAAGCACUCCGCCUGGGGAGUACGGCCGCAAGGCUGAAACUCAAAGGAAUUGACGGGGACCCGCACAAGCGGUGGAGCAUGUGGUUUAAUUCGAUGCAACGCGAAGAACCUUACCUGGUCUUGACAUCUGCAGAACUUUCCAGAGAUGGAUUGGUGCCUUCGGGAACUGCAAGACAGGUGCUGCAUGGCUGUCGUCAGCUCGUGUCGUGAGAUGUUCGGUUAAGUCCGGCAACGAGCGCAACCCUUGUCCUUAUUUGCCAGCACGUAAUGGUGGGAACUCUAAGGAGACUGCCGGUGAUAAACCGGAGGAAGGUAGGGACGACGUCAAGUCAUCAUGGCCCUUAUGACCAGGGCUACACACGUGCUACAAUGGUCGGUACAAUGGGUUGCCAAACCGCGAGGUGGAGCUAAUCUCAUAAAACCGAUCCCAGUCCGGAUCGUAGUCUGCAACUCGACUACGUGAAGUCGGAAUCGCUAGUAAUCGUGGAUCAGAAUGCCACGGUGAAUACGUUCCCGGGUCUUGUACUCACCGCCCGUCA